CCUAUUUUAAAAGGGAGCUGAUAAUCUGACCACCAGAGUGUUUUAACCUCAAACAUUUAAAAACAAGUUCGGUCUAAAAGUAGUGCGCAACAGGGACCAAUUAUUUUCUAUUAUGUCUGCAUGUCCUCACUUAGCAGGGAGAAGCAAUGUCCGAGCAGAAGGCCUGACAAGCGCACAGAAACCCAGAGCUGGAAAGGACCAUAAGGUUCCAGAUACAGCUGACCCUCCAUCUUACAGGAGGGGGAAACAGAGGCCCAGAGGGUGAGUAAGCUGCCUAGGGCUCAACAGCAAGCAGGUAGAGAGCGUCUCCCCAACACGCCACGCUGCCCGGGGAUUAUCAACCACUUAAAGGGCCCUGGCUGCACACACCAGGGUCCCCACCUCUCCUAGUGCCUGUGGCGCCGGGCAGAGGGGAGCUGGCGGUGACAGGCAGUCGUGCCCAGCUCGAGACUUACUCGGCUGCCAGCACUAAGCUGCAAGAGUUCGCCGGGCACACGUAGAAGCUCUUUCCUUUGUUGGGACCAUCGCGGACGCCAGUCUUGAGAAAGCAGAUGGUUCCUGAGGAGAGAAGGUUGAUAACGAUUAUGCCACGCUUAGACUGACAGACUCCCGGAGGAGCCCCUAAAAGAUCCGAGCCCCUUACCGUGCUCCGAGCACCUAAGCGCUUCCAUGACCGCUCCAGUCUCCAAUUCCAGAGAGCAGUGCCCCAACGCCCGCUUCCGCCUUUUACUCCGCCCUCCUCUCUCAGGAGCCAAUCAGCACCCCCUUUCUGCAGCCUCAACCCCCAUAAUUCACCGCGCGUGGCAUUCACCCGCCGCCUUCGCGGGAACUCGGCGUUUGAACGGUGGGGCGUGGCUGCAGCUGGCGCGGCUCUUCCAGGUGGGGCUUUCCGCGUUAGGAAGCUUCGAUUGGCUGUUGCCUGGAGGGGCAAGGGCAAGGCUGAGGCCGGGGGCGACUCCAGUUUAUAGGGUCUUUGUCUUCAGUCCCCGAGCUGGGAGACAGCAUUAAGGACUGGCUGUGCAGGAGGACUCACCCGGGUUCUUCGCCUGCCUGCCUGGAGCUCUGCGUGCACGUUGAAGUCGUCCCUCUCCAUCCUCACACUUUUCUCGAGGUGACAUAAUUCCUGCCACUUUCGUCAUUGCCUACGUCUGACAGAACAGCUGGAGCAGGGCUAAGUGCUUUCUGUUGCCAGGUUGGGACGGCUCCUGGUUUACUGCUUCUGAGUGACCCAAACUGAAUACUACCCUGGAUACCUUCCCUCGAUGAAGAAAAGUUUUGAGCAAGGAAUUUGGACUGGAAACUUAGACUUUAGAAUUUAGUACGUGUGUGUUCGGACCUGACGUUAGGUCCUAAUACUGAUCGGGUUUUUUCGCACAGCAUCCUGAUUUGUCAGCUCUAGGACUGGAGGUAUUUGGCCCACGUGUAGGAGUAAAGGCCGUCCUGACAUCAGCACCAUUUUAUUGGGGAGGGGGGAGGGUCAUAUCUUGGGUAUUGAGAACAGAAGAUCCUCAGACAAUUCUUAGCCGCCAGCAGGGUGGUACCAAUAGCUGCCAUGAGAUUAUUAAACAGUACGAAGAUUCCCUACAGACAGACUCAAGAACUGGUAGCAUUUGCCUUCAGUCGUGGGAGACCAUAACAAAAACACGCUCUCAUGUGUUUAUUUGGGCAGCAUCCUGUGGUAGCACAGAGUAGCCAUGCAAUCAACACGCAUGGGAUUAAAUGGACAUCUGUGGGAACCAGGGCAAAGAGUGCCAAGGGGUCCCCUGUCCCCUGUCUAAAUUUAGUCUCCCCUUUUUAGAGCAAACCGGAUCCUAACAUGUGACAAAGCAAACAUCUGGCAUUAGUUUUUCUGUCCCAGUGGUGCUCCUGUUCUACCUUGUGUGUGCAGCUCUUUGCUCAGAAUGAGAUGGUGGCAUCUUUAUAAGUAGAGGAAGCACAGUGUGAUAGAAAGGGUGUUGCUUUUGGAGUUCAUGCAUCUGGGCUCAAGGGCCAGCUCUUUUUGAUACUUAAAGCAUGAUACUUAACUGCUUUCUCCUGGUUUAUGGUUAGAUCUCAGCUUCACAAGUUUGUUGUAAAGCUCUGGUGCUCCUAACCCAUGAUGGCGGCUCAACAUAGUGAACAUCAGCUCCCUUCUCCUUUCCUCCUAGAGGGAAUGGAUGAUAUCACUUAUUUCUGAAUUCCUAACUCCCAGCAUAUGUCUUGGCACACGCAGAAUAUCUGGAAAUGUUUGUAGAACAAAUAAAAUCUUAUUUCCCAGUGUAUUAAAAUCCCUCCCUCUGUGUUGGUCAUCUAGUUGGUUCUCAAACACUUAAAAAAAUUUUUUUGUGGGGCGCCUGGGUGGCUCAGUCAGUUAAGCUUCUGACUCUGGCCCAGGUCAUGAUCUCGUGGUUCAUGAGUUCGAGCCCUGUGUUGGGCUCUGUGCUGACAGCUCGGAGCCUGGAGCCUGCUUCAGAUUCUAUGUCUCAUUCUCUCUCUGCCCUCCCUGCCCCACCCCCCCCCCCCCCAGCCAACUUGUGCUGUCUCUCUCUGUCUCUCAAAAAUGAAUAAAGGUUAAAAAAAAAUUUAACUUCGGUGUAAGUUAUUUACAUACAGUUAUUUCAGUUAUAUACUACUAUAUUUAUAUGUUUAAUAAGUUAUAUAUUAGAUUAUUUACAUAAAUUGCUAGAUCUUAAGAAAGCUUAGUACAUUUUUACGUAGGUAUACAUACACCCAUGAAACCAUCACCUAGAUAAAGAUAAAAAAACAUUUCAGUUGCCCCAGAAGGUUCUUCCUGCUACUUCCCAGUCAAUACUCCCCCUGCCAGAGGAAAUGAUUAUGGUGACUUCUGUCCUCAUAGAUUCGUUUUGCCGGUUCUUGGAUUUCAAAUAAGUGAAUCUUAUAGUGCAUACCCUUUUGUGCCUGGCUUAUUUCACUCAAAAAAUGCUGUGAUAUUCAUCCAUGCCGUCACGUAUGCAGCAGUUUGUUCAUUUUUAUUAUGUGUAGUAUUCCACAAUAUAUAUAAGCUAUGCGUCCGUUCACCUACUGAUGGACAGUGGGGUUGUUCCUAGUUUUUAGCAAUGAUGGAUAAAGCUGUAUUUUCGUUUAUGUCUUUUGGUGGAUAGAGCUAUUCCUUUCUCUCGGGUAAACGCAAGGAGUGGAGUUGCUUAUCAAAAACUACCAAACUAUUUUACAAAAUAGUUGAACACACUUACACUGCCACCAGCACCGUAUUAAGUUCUGGUAACUUUAAAAUCUUAUCUGCGUUUGAUAUUUGGUAUUGUCUUUAACAUUUUAAUCAUCCGGGUAUCUCAUGGUUGUUUUAAUUUGUAGAUUUCUGAUGAGUGAUGAUGUUGAGGGUCUUUUCAGAUGCUGUGGCCACGGGGCUGCACUAUUCAGAUCUCACUUCAAGGGAACCUUCUGCAGGGAACAUAGCUGACUGACAGCUUCCAGCAGCUAGAUCAUCAUAUCUGUCACAAUGCUCGCACUGAGGCCACAUUUUCCCAGGAAAUUUGCUGCUUCCAGUCAAAGACUAAGCAGGGCAGAGAUACUAGACUUAGACCAUUUCUGCCCAGUGGAGCCCUUCUCCAAUAGCCAAUCUUUGUUUAAGAGACUCCCAUCAGCUUGGCCCAGAUUACCUCAAAACUGCAGUGUCUAAAGUUCUUCCUACAUCAUCUGCCUUCCUUCCCUGAUCCUUUUAUAGAUGUCAAAACUGCACCACAGUCCAGGGCUCUCCCCACUUUCUCCUGCCCCAGCCCCCUUUUCCUUCAUAGGCAUUUCCCUCAGUAGACCCCUUGCAUGUCUAAUCCCAUCUUGGCAUAUGCUUCAUGAAGCCUGAACUGACCUACGUGAUUAUUGACUGUUGAUAAUUCUCUUUUGUAAAACCCCUGUACAAGUCUUUUGUCUAUUUUUAAGAUGAGCUUCAUGCUCCUCCUUUUUUAAAAAAAUUUAUUUAUAGGAGCGCCUGGGUGGCUCAGUCGGUUAAGCAUCUGACUUCGGCUCAGGUCAUGAUCUUGUGGCUUGUGGGUUGGAGCCUUGCGUCAGGCUCUGUGCUGACAGCUCAGAGCCUGGAGCCUGCUUCGGAUUCUGUGUCUCCCUCUCUCUCUGCACCUCUCUGCUAAUGUUCUGUCUCUCUGUCUCUCUCUCAAAACAUUUUUUAAAAAUUUAUUUAUAGGAGUUCUGUAUACAUUCUGGAUAUAAAUUCUUUGUUAGAUAUGAUUUGUGAAUAUUUUCCCUCCAUCCAUGGCUUGUGUAUAAUCACUUUAUUAAUGAUAUCUUUGAUGAAUAGUUUAUUUUAGUGGUGCCCAGUUUAUUUUUUUCCUUUGUAGUAUAAAAUGUGAGGUAGGUGUCAAGGUUCUUUUUUUUUUUUUCAUAUGAAUAUCCAAUGGUGUCAGCAACUAGAAGAAACAUGAUUUCCCCACUGCAGUAGCACCUAUAAUGGAAAUUAGGUAAAUCUACAUAUGUAUGUAUAUUUCUGGACUCUAUUCUGUUCCAUUGAUUUCCUUGUUUAUACUUGCACCUAUAAUACACAGUUUUUAAAUAUAUAUACCAUCACACUUUAUUUUUAAAGUAAUCUCCAUGCCCAACAUGGGGCUCAAACUCCUGGCCUUGAGAUCAAGAGUCACAUGCUCCAUGGACUGAGCCAGCCAGAUGCUCCUACAACACACUGUUGUAAUUAUUAUAGUUUUAUAGAAUGUCCUGGAACUUGAGCUCAUAAUUCCUCCAACUUUUUCUUCUUAAAUAUUGUCUAGAUUAUUUAUAUUUUCAUUUAUUAGAAUGAGCUCAUCGAUUUCUAAAAUUGCCUGGGAUUGGGAUUAGGAUUCCAUUAAACCAGGGUUUCUUAUCCUCAACGCUAUUGAAAUUUUGGGCUUUGCUGUGGGGAAAGGAGUCUGUCUUAUGCAUUG